rnacentral:rRNA from 1 species
UACGUAGGGUGCGAGCGUUGUCCGGAAUUAUUGGGCGUAAAGGGCUCGUAGGCGGUCUGUCGCGUCGGGAGUGAAAACUCAGGGCUUAACCCUGAGCCUGCUUCCGAUACGGGCAGACUAGAGGUAUGCAGGGGAGAACGGAAUUCCUGGUGUAGCGGUGAAAUGCGCAGAUAUCAGGAGGAACACCGGUGGCGAAGGCGGGAUCCUGGGCCAGUACUGACGCUGAGGAGCGAAAGCGUGGGGAGCAAACAGG